rnacentral:rRNA from 1 species
GACGAACGCUGGCGGCGUGCCUACUACAUGCAAGUCGAGCGAAUCAAUAGGAGCUUGCUCCUGUUGGUUAGCGGCGGACGGGUGAGUAACACGUGGGCAACCUGCCUGUAAGACUGGGAUAACACCGGGAAACCGGUGCUAAUACCGGAUAAUCCUUUUCCUCUCAUGAGGAAAAGCUGAAAGUCGGUUUCGGCUGACACUUACAGAUGGGCCCGCGGCGCAUUAGCUAGUUGGGGAGGUAACGGCUCACCAAGGCGAAGAUGCGUAGCCGACCUGAGAGGGUGAGCGGCCACACUGGGACUGAGACACGGCCCAGACUCCUACGGGAGGCAGCAGUAGGGAAUCUUCCACAAUGGACGAAAGUCUGAUGGAGCAACGCCGCGUGAGCGAUGAAGGCCUUCGGGUCGUAAAGCUCUGUUGUUAGGGAAGAACAAGUAUCGGAGUAACUGCCGGUACCUUGACGGUACCUAACCAGAAAGCCACGGCUAACUACGUGCCAGCCGCCGCGGUAACAC